rnacentral:rRNA from 1 species
GACGAACGCUGGCGGCGUGCUUAACACAUGCAAGUCGAACGGAAAGGCCCUGCUUUUGUGGGGUGCUCGAGUGGCGAACGGGUGAGUAACACGUGAGUAACCUGCCCUUGACUUUGGGAUAACUUCAGGAAACUGGGGCUAAUACCGGAUAGGAGCUCCUGCUGCAUGGUGGGGGUUGGAAAGUUUCGGCGGUUGGGGAUGGACUCGCGGCUUAUCAGCUUGUUGGUGGGGUAGUGGCUUACCAAGGCUUCGACGGGUAGCCGGCCUGAGAGGGUGACCGGCUACAUUGGGACUGAGAUACGGCCCAGACUCCUACGGGAGGCAGCAGUGGGGAAUAUUGCACAAUGGGCGGAAGCCUGAUGCAGCAACGCCGCGUGCGGGAUGACGGCCUUCGGGUUGUAAACCGCUUUCGCCUGUGACGAAGCGUGAGUGACGGUAAUGGGUAAAGAAGCACCGGCUAACUACGUG